UUUCAGAAACAGAUGAAUCUGAUGACUUUCGAAGUAAACACAACCAACAGAUACCAAGUAAUGAAUUCGAUUUAGACUCCAAUUCACAUAAAAAUAACAGAACGAGAAGAAACGUUUUGACACCUAACUAAGUUGUUAUUAUUCAUGCAUGCAAACUAAGUGUGAGAAAGUCCACUGCUCUCGUUAAUGCUGCAGGAUCUGCAUAAAUGUUAACCUGAAAGAAGUGACUAUUAAUACGAGUUCAUUUCAUCGUGCUUAAACUCGCCUUCGGACUAAAAAUGCUGAUAAAGUGAAACAAGAAUUUGGCUAACUGUUCACUGGGACGGGAGAAGAUGAAAUUGAAGUGAAUGAAAGAAGUGAAUGUUAAUACGAGUUAAUUUCAUCGUGCUUAAACUCGCCUUCGGACUGAAAAUGCUGAAAAAGUGAAACAAGAAUUUGGCUAACUGUUCACUGGGACGGGAGAAGAUGAAAUUGAGCAUUACAAUAGAGGAAGGAUUGCCAGUUCUUAUCACUGGUUAUGGCCUUGAAAAUCAGCUGCUUGGAGAACCUAAGUAUAAUGAUGGCUCAGGUGAAGUGCAGGCUUGGGCCGUAAAAGAGAUGCUUGAUAAAUGGAGAAUCGAACACAGAGCGAUGUCGAAGCAAUGUGUACAAAUACAACUGCAUCAAAUACAGGUUGCAUUAUUGGUGCUUGUGUGAUGUUGGAAAGGAUCCCGUGAUUUAUUAUACAAAGCUUGUCGACGUCAUAUAUUUAAAGUUGUCCUGAAGGGUAUUUAUGAAGUGACAGUGGCAUUGUCUUCUGGUCCUGACAUUCCUCUUUUUAAAUGAUUCUUUUUAAAUAAUUCACGAGUAUUUGGGACAAGUGAAAACUGAAGACAAUUUCCAAAACCUUCUCCUUGUGUAUUUGCCAGUAAAUAAAUAAUAAUUUAACAGUCU